UACGUAGGGCGCGAGCGUUGUCCGGAUUUAUUGGGCGUAAAGAGCUCGUAGGCGGCUUGUCGCGUCGACUGUGAAAACCCGAGGCUCAACUUCGGGCUUGCAGUCGAUACGGGCAGGCUAGAGUUCGGUAGGGGAGACUGGAAUUCCUGGUGUAGCGGUGAAAUGCGCAGAUAUCAGGAGGAACACCGGUGGCGAAGGCGGGUCUCUGGGCCGUAACUGACGCUGAGGAGCGAAAGCAUGGGGAGCGAACAGG
rnacentral:rRNA from 1 species